AAAUUCAUGAAUAUUUUCAUCUUCUUUCAUUCUUAAGUUUUCAAACUUGGAGGUGAGCAGCUGAAGUCUAGACAUCUUUACCCUAGAUGUGCCUUCAUGAGUGGUCUUGAGAAUGUCCCAAGCCUCUUUGGCUAUUUCACAGUUAUUUAUCAGCCUGAAAAUAUUCUUGUCCACUCCAUUGAAGAUGGCAUUCAGAGCUUUAGAAUUUCCAAGAGCAAGAUCAU
rnacentral:lncRNA from 1 species